UACGGGGGGGGCAAGCGUUGUUCGGAAUUACUGGGCGUAAAGGGCUCGUAGGCGGUCAACUAAGUCAUACGUGAAAUCCCUCGGCUUAACCGGGGAACUGCGUCUGAUACUGGAUGGCUUGAGUUCGGGAGAGGGAUGCGGAAUUCCAGGUGUAGCGGUGAAAUGCGUAGAUAUCGGGAGGAACACCUAUGGCGAAGGCAGCUCGCUGGGACGGUACUGACGCUGAGACGCGAAAGCGUGGGGAGCAAACAGG
rnacentral:rRNA from 1 species